GAUGAACGCUGGCGGCGUGCCUAAUACAUGCAAGUCGAGCGAACGGACGAGAAGCUUGCUUCUCUGAUGUUAGCGGCGGACGGGUGAGUAACACGUGGAUAACCUACCUAUAAGACUGGGAUAACUUCGGGACACCGGAGCUAAUACCGGAUAAUAUUUUGAACCGCAUGGUUCAAAAGUGAAAGACGGUCUUGCUGUCACUUAUAGAUGGAUCCGCGCUGCAUUAGCUAGUUGGUAAGGUAACGGCUUACCAAGGCAACGAUGCAUAGCCGACCUGAGAGGGUGAUCGGCCACACGGGAACUGAGACACGGUCCAGACUCCUACGGGAGGCAGCAGUAGGGAAUCUGCCGCAAUGGGCGAGAGCCUGACGGAGCAACGCCGCGUGAGUGAUGAAGGUCUUCGGAUCGUAAAACUCUGUUAUUAGGGAAGAACAUAUGUGUAAGUAACUGUGCACAUCGUGACGGUACCUAAUCAGAAAGCCACGGCUAACUACGUG
rnacentral:rRNA from 1 species